UCGUGUCGUGAGAUGUUCGGUUAAGUCCGCUAACGAGCCGCAACCCUUCGCUGUGUGUUACAAGUGUCACACGGAACUGCCGGUCAUAACGGAGGAAGGUGGGGAUGACGUCAAGUCAGCAUGGCCUUUAUAUCCUGGGCUACACACACGCUACAAUGGGAAGGGACAAUAGGUUGCGAAGCCGCGAGGCGGAGCCAAUCCAGCAAAACUUCCCUCAGUUCAGAUUGCAGGCUGCAACUCGCCUGCAUGAAGUUGGAGUUGCUAGUAAACGCAGGUCAGCCAUACUGCGUUGAAUACGUUCCCGGGGCUU
rnacentral:rRNA from 1 species